ACACAUGCAGUCGAGCGGCAGCACAGAGGACUUGUUCCUUGGGUGGCGAGCGGCGGACGGGUGAGUAAUGCCUAGGAAAUUGCCCUGAUGUGGGGGAUAACCAUUGGAAACGAUGGCUAAUACCGCAUGAUGCCUACGGGCCAAAGAGGGGGACCUUCGGGCCUCUCGCGUCAGGAUAUGCCUAGGUGGGAUUAGCUAGUUGGUGAGGUAAUGGCUCACCAAGGCGACGAUCCCUAGCUGGUCUGAGAGGAUGAUCAGCCACACUGGAACUGAGACACGGUCCAGACUCCUACGGGAGGCAGCAGUGGGGAAUAUUGCACAAUGGGCGCAAGCCUGAUGCAGCCAUGCCGCGUGUAUGAAGAAGGCCUUCGGGUUGUAAAGUACUUUCAGUCGUGAGGAAGGUGGUGUUGUUAAUAGCAGCAUCAUUUGACGUUAGCGACAGAAGAAGCACCGGCUAACUCCGUGCCAGCAGCCGCGGUAAUACGGAGGGUGCGAGCGUUAAUCGGAAUUACUGGGCGUAAAGCGCAUGCAGGUGGUGGAUUAAGUCAGAUGUGAAAGCCCGGGGCUCAACCUCGGAACCGCAUUUGAAACUGGUUCACUAGAGUACUGUAGAGGGGGGUAGAAUUUCAGGUGUAGCGGUGAAAUGCGUAGAGAUCUGAAUGAAUACCGGCUGGCCGAAUGCAGCCCCCUGACAGAUACUGACACUCAGAUGCGAAAGCGUGGGUAGCAACAGGAUUA
rnacentral:rRNA from 1 species